GGGGGAGUGACCCUAUAAUCGUCUUCUCAUCUCUCCCCCAGUCCCAGAGGAGAGGCACACCAGUUAGCAUAAAAGGCUAAACAUAACAUCAAACUUGCUGCCUUUUUGAAGCCUUUGAUCCCAUCGCUGAUCCUGAGAGUCUCGGCCACCUAUCACUGGCAGCAAGUCCAAGAUGGUUUACAGCACAGGAGACCCCCAGCCAUCCAGACUUUAGACUUGCACUGAUGCAGAGCUGGGACCACGUGUUUGACGACUGACGACAUCAGUUCAGUGCUUCUUCUAGGCCCACCUGGAUUGCCGGCUGGCUCAGAACGGAGCAGGCAUGGUUUGCAGUCAUGCCAUGCAGCUCAUCUCUGAACCUGAGCCAUGCAAAGAUCAACUCUUCUUAAAUGGCUAGAUUCAAAACAAAUAAGGACACAUUUAUGUUAUUAUUGCCACAUGUAAAAGCCUCAAUUGAGUCAAAGCGGUUUGUGCUUUUAUUUUUAGUGUAAUCUUUUUGUUCUUUUUCUUCCUUUUUUUUUUUAGAUAGGAGGAAAUAACAAGAUGACGGGAAAUGAGGAGCACACAACAAAGGUCAGAGGCCAAACACAAACAGAGGAAGGCACCAGCAUCUUAACCCCUAAACCACCAGGAUGUCCCAGGUCCUGAGAAUGAGCUCCUAUUGUGCAGAGAGGCGAUCCAGUUACAAAGGACUGAAAAACGAGUGUGAGAAAAACAGAGACCAACAGACUGCCAGAAGAAGAAAAAAAAAGAUUUGUUUUUAUUUCAAAGCUGCAAACAAUAUGUAACACACGAUCUCGCAGUAGUGCCCUGAUCUGGCAAAUCUUUCGGAACAUUUUUUAGCUCACAGUUUUGUUUUCUGCUUUGUAUGAAACAAUAAACAUAGUCACUGCUGGCACCGACUUUGUUGUCAUUUUGGAAAACAUAACAAUUCUGAGAUCCAAGAGUGGUGGAGGCGAUGAACUGAGGUUACAGUGUUUAGCAAUGAUAGAAUAUCAUAUUUGUUGUGCCACGAAGUCCUGAUGUAACCGAGACCUUAUUUUUCUUAAAAAGUGAUUCAUGCUGACACGUUCGGUGAUUUACAAAUUCAAAGGCCUCUGCAGUAAAGCUGUGACCACAGUGGUCAGUGCUGUACAUCUGGAGCGAGAGAUGAAGAAAGGUUUGACAUCUAAAAAUAAUAAAGAAAAAGAAACCAGCAAUGCAAAAAGUCUUGUGUUUGUCUGGUUUCAUUCCUCCACUGCAAUGAAUUGUAAUUGAUGUUUUUAACAGAUACUAAAUAUAGCUGCAAACAGCAAUGAUGGGACCAAGCAACUUAGCAGAGCUCCUGGUUGCCAUGUUAGCUCAAUAUGACAGUGAGGUCUAUCAAUUUAACAAUAAUCAAUAAAUACUCUUCUAAACAAUGUUUUUAUUACAUGAACAAAAGUCUGCUAAACAAAAUGAACACAACACUUUCCCCCUUUAUCAGGUGUUAAUGUGGAGAAUUAGAGACCCAAACUAACAAAAAACUUCAUGCGCUGCUUUCUGUCAUGAAACCUAAAAUUCAUCCAAAGUGAGAUUCUAAGAACUGAAGUUCUCAGAAGCUGAAUAUGAUGUUGUUGAAGCGACAGCAGAAGUGGGCUUCCUCUUUUCUCUCGGGGGAUUUGUGGGUUGAUCGAUAAAACUGAUUUUAGUGAUGAGUCAUCCUGGAGAGUUUUCAGUCAAUAAUGUCUCCGUUCUUAUCAGUAAACUAAAAGUUGUGUGGGGUACAGGUGCUGUUGUAAAACUCAACAGUAAACAUGGCAUGGUAUCCACAUAGCUACAAAGCUGUGCAAAAAUCUUGAGCCACCACUCUUUCUUUAUAUAUUGAUUACAAGGAGCCAGGAUUUAUUUUCUUCUUUUUAAAGUGGUCCUGACCAGGCUUUCCGAAAGGUUUUUUUUUGGACAUCUGCUUUUGCAUUCAUUUUUAGUCAAGUCCUGUGUGUAGUGUACCUGACCAUUUGCAGAGGAAUACAUUUUUUUUCUUUUUUUAGCUCACUUCACUGACCAAUCAUCAAUCAUUCAGCAGAAAAAAGGGGCCCUAACUCAAGGAAUGAAGCAGUGUUGUGUCUACACAUAACAGACAACUUAACAAAAAGACAAUUUUAAGUUGUAUCUUUAGGCACUUUGCAGCCUGUCACAAAAACAGAAAGUUUAUUACAAUUUUUUUACUGGAAUAUACAAAAAUACCAGACAUGACACAGUUUGACAGACAUAAAAUAGUGUUUUUGCACCAACAAGGUGGCGGCUAAAGAGCUAUUACCCCUUGGUAUAUCUCAGAUGGUGUGAGAUAAACUGGAUAAAUGGAGGACAAAUUUUUAUCUUUAUUGCAAAAAUUUAAAUUCAGUGGCAGUCUUGCCCCUGUGCAAAUUAGGUUUUCACAUAUUCAUAAGCUUUAUUGGCUGAAUUACUCGCCUGAAUUACUAUGUUGCAGACUUUAGAUUCAAUCUUUCUCCACCUUCUCCUGCUAAUGGUGGGAUAAGGCCAUGCUCAAGUACACUUUGGUACACAAUAGGUUGUAACUUAUACAAUUUAAGGUAUUAAACAGAGUUCACUUCUCAAAGUCUCAUUUAUCAAAAACUGAACCCAACAUAUUGGACCAGUGUCACCGAUGUUAUGCCUUAUUUUGCCAUCUGAGACAUAAUGUCUUGUGUUAUGUCAUCUCUCAGAGGAAAAAAGCUUAUGAUCCUAUCUUAUAUUUUUUCAAAAAUUUCAUUGAUUAUUUUAAUACUUUACAAACUGUCACUGUAGACUAACCCACACAAUAUGUGUUGAUUUCAGUAACUUUAUCCCUACUUUCAAUUCUUUAACAUUAUCUUUUUUCUCAAUUAGAAUGUUUUUUUCUUUUUAAAAAAGAGAUGGUAGACCUAAAAACCUAUCCACAGGAGAUCUGACAGUCAGGUUCUUAAGAAAUAUGAAUUACCAAAAGAUCUGGCACAGGAGUUGAGAAAUGGAUCCGGCCCUUCAGUCGAUUUGUAUCCCUUGUUUUCCUUUUAAUUCAGUUCAAUUCAAUUCUGAUUUAUUUAUAAAGCAUCAAAUCACAACAACAGUCAUCUCAACAAUAUUGAGUGAGUAAGCACUUUGCACUUGUGGGACGGAAAUGCUCCCUUUUAACAAAAAGAAACCUUGAGCAGAACCACACUCAGGGAGAAAUAGCCAUCUGCCACAACUGAAAUGGUCAUAAAUGGUCUCAGUAGAAGGGUGGCUGUCAAGAAACCACUUUUAAGGAAGGGAAACAGGAAGAAAGGGUUAAUGUAUGCCAAGUUACACAAGAACUGGACUAGAACCCCAUGGCAACAGGUCUUAUGGAGUGAUAAAAUUUGAAAUUUUAUCUUCAAAUCAUCGUCAAUAUUUAAGGAGGAGGUCAGUAGGGAGAUACUCCAGUGAGCUACAGCCAUCUGUGAAACACAGUGGAGGUUCUGUCAUGGUUUGGGGCUGAAUUCCAGCAAGUGGUGUUGAAGGUUACUUAAAGAAGCUACAAGAAAGCUUCCCUAAGAGAGUUCAGACUGUAAUGAAAUAAAAAGGUUGUCAAAUCAAAUACUGAAUGUUAAGAUUAUUAAACUUGUACAAACUCUGUUUUUGCCUUAUGUACAAACUGUAUUUCCAUGUUGGUUUGUACAUUUGUACAGUAAAAUGUAUAUUUGUAAAAACAUACAUGGAAUUUGUGUUUUAAUAAAUAACUGCACCUAAUUCCUGUUUUCCUAGAAAAAGGAGAUGAGAGGCAGCUCGAGAGUACUAUAUUUACAACAUGAAUUUAUUUUGUAAUAAAUAGUUGUAAUAGCAGAGAAUUAAAACCUAAAACUUUGACCUCUGGGACCAGUUAGGUUACUUUUAGCUUGAUGUUGAAGGGAUAUUUCUACUGCUGUUUGAACCAAACCUGCCCCAAAGUUUUUCCCUAUCUGUGGAAGAAAGUGAGUCCACUGUUUACCUCAGCUGUCAAUGCCGGGUGACAAGUGUCCACGGAUUAAUCUGGAGGAGCCUUGCAAAUGUUUUGAAAUAAGUCCAAAACUAGUCCAUGAGUCAAAGAAAUGCUCACUUCUGACAAAUGACAGCCAUAUUGAGUUGAGUUGCUGAGGAUCUGCUGAGGUUUUCUGUCAGUAAGCGCUGCUGUUUUUGCUGCUGUUAGCUACUGUUAGCUACUGUUAGCUGUUAGCGUUCACCACAGUUAGUGAAACAUUCUUUGAAGUGGACGUAACUUUGUUGGACUGUAAUGCUUAAUAAAUAAACUCUCGUAUACUAUCUGAGAAUGUAAUCAAAAACUGUUUAUCAGAGGCAAAGUUUGAUUUUAUAACUUUUAAGCCUAAUGUUAGCUGGCAUAAUGUUAGCUUGUAACCAGAUGUUGUUGUUGUUGUCUAACUGGCUUAUUGUCAGCUGUCUAGAGAAAAGAGGGUUGCAUGUCUAAUCUGCUAACAAUAAGUGAUUGCAACAAUAUUAGGAAUAAAUAAGCAUGUCUAUGAACAUUUUUGCGUCUUAGAGUCCUGACUUCAGUUCAGCAGGUGAGGCGAGAAAGAAGAGAACAUUUUAUUAAAAUCCCUGUAGCAUUAUCUUUUUCCCUCUUCCCUACUAUCUGGGGUCUAAAGGUGCAGGGAUAAAUUUAAAUGUCUCUUCAUGGCACAUAAAUGUCUAUGACUUUUCAUCUCAUCUGACUUAUGCAUACUAUGUAUUUGGAUGGUCGCUAGCCACAUACAUAAAAUGCCAUUAGUCAGAGAGUAGACGUCCUUCCCAGCCACUGUAUUUAAAUAUGGUAUGGGAACAAACUGGCUUCCACAAACCACAAAUCUGCUCCUAUCGACUUUUAAUUGAAUAACUAUAAGUACUGUACCAUUAAACAACAGAAAGAAAAAAUCUUACUCACAAAGGUAGUGGCAAACUAAU